rnacentral:lncRNA from 1 species
UGCCCUAAUUUACAGUAGUUGACUGAGUUGUUUUUCAUUGUCAUGUUCUCCUGACUCAACCCCACGGCUCUGGUCACGAUGGGCACAUCAGGCCUUGACACGAUUCAUAUACGAGUUCCGGUCAAUGAAAACAGCAAGUGAAAACGAAAAAAAAAGAAACUAGAUUGAUUUCCUGAUCACUCGACCCCAGAAAUAGCAACCAGGCACAUCGGCCCCGCAACUCCAAAAAAGAGACCGGAUCAUUCAAGCCCUAAUUGCAGCCCGACCCCAUAAAAACUGGCGAACCUCGGACCAGCGACGAUGAUUCCAAUAGACUGGGACGACAUCGAAAUUGCAAGAGACACAAUGGGACACCCGGUGACCAGCAGUGUGGGGGUUGGAGCUAUGAAGGUCAAGAGUAUCCUAUUUCCCCGGAAACUGCGGCAACUCGGGCAAUGGCCAGAUUCUUCACAAAGGAGCUUAAAUGUUGUUGGCGAAGAGAAGAGACGAUAGCAGCGGCAAGAGGGCUAGGAAGCUUGCCAGACUCAUGCCUCUGCGUAGUGAGAUGAGCUAGCUUGCUUGUAUAAACGAGUCAAUUAAUAACUCUAUUUGGCUCGUGGUUCAUUGUCAAAAUUCUAAAUAUUCAACAUAGGCGCAAAAACCUAGGUUCCACUCCGGAGUUCAGAGAUGUAGAACGUUCGUUAGUUCCACAACCUCAGGGGUUCAAUAGCGGUGCUGCUAACAUGGUCGCAACGAAGCGUGUCAACGAAAGACGCCGACAAUGCCCAUCAGCAUUAUUCAGGGACCUUCUCUGUCACUUAUCACUGGACCUAGCAGUAAUCGGAUUAUCGGCAAUCAACAUGCCAGGGCA